GGGGUAGCCUGUUUGUUUCUACCCCCGGUUUCUUUGGCAAGAGGGGUAGGCUGUUUAUCUUGAGGGGUAGCCUGAUUGGUUAGAGGUGGAGGGGUAGCCUGAUUGGUGACACCAACCUUCUUCUCCACAGCUUCCAAUCUAUCGGACAACUUCCUAAACUCCCUCAUGCAUUUAUUAAACCCUUUUUUCAUGCAGUCAGCUACGCCCUUGAACAUAAUUUCCAACUCCUCUCUGGUCACCCCUCUAGCCUCUUCUCUAGCCUCUUCACUAGCCAC
rnacentral:lncRNA from 1 species